CGACGGUGGCUUAUUUACUGCAGGAGAUACUGGGGCUGAUUGAAGCGGCAAACCUCUCCCCCCGACCCUAAGAGGAAAACAACAAAAGCCACAUAUGAAAAAUGAAGCCAUCCCACUUGGAGCCAGGGAUUGGAACGCCGGCGCGGGCACCAGAUGUUAACUUCUGCUUGUGGCUCCAGCCUUUGUAUUUGCUUCAGCCUGCUCCUGAAAUCCUGGGAAGUCUGCCUCAUUAUGUUCUUCAGCUCUUGGCUUCAGCGUCUUCUCAAAGGGACCUUAUUUAAUGGCUACACUCUCUGAAGUAGGUCAUAGGUCACCAGAGACCCAGAAAGUAGAGCCUAUUAUACUAACUCUUUUCAGGGUGGGGGGUACCAGUGAGUGAUCCCCAGGGCACUCAACCACUGAGCCACGCCCCCAGCCUUUUUUUGUAUUUUAUUUAGAGACGGGGUCUCUCUGAAUUGCUUUGCACCUCACUGUUACUGAGGCUGGUUUGAACUCUAGAUCCUCCUGCCUCAGCCUCCCUCCGGAGCCACUGAGAUUACAGAAUGCGCCACCGCACCCAACUUAUUACACACAUCCUCAUCCAGAUAUUUAAACACUGUCAGUGAGAAACAGCACCAGAUACUUGUUAAAGGCCCCAAGAUAGGUUUCAUUCAGACUACUGCAGAAGAGGAGACUCCAGUAUAAACUGAACUCAACUCUAGCGAAGACCAAACUGGCUAAGAUUUUAAAGGGAUGACAGGGAAGGAACAGAAGGGGAUU
rnacentral:lncRNA from 1 species